rnacentral:rRNA from 1 species
AGCGAACGCUGGCGGCAGGCCUAACACAUGCAAGUCGAACGAACUCUUCGGAGUUAGUGGCGGACGGGUGAGUAACACGUGGGAACGUGCCUUUUGGUUCGGAAUAACUCAGGGAAACUUGUGCUAAUACCGAAUGUGCCCUUCGGGGGAAAGAUUUAUCGCCAUUAGAGCGGCCCGCGUCUGAUUAGCUAGUUGGUGAGGUAACGGCUCACCAAGGCGACGAUCAGUAGCUGGUCUGAGAGGAUGACCAGCCACACUGGGACUGAGACACGGCCCAGACUCCUACGGGAGGCAGCAGUGGGGAAUCUUGCGCAAUGGGCGAAAGCCUGACGCAGCCAUGCCGCGUGAAUGAUGAAGGUCUUAGGAUUGUAAAAUUCUUUCAACGGGGACGAUAAUGACGGUACCCGGAGAAGAAGACCCGGCUAACUUCGUG